UGGGGAAUAUUGGACAAUGGGGGCAACCCUGAUCCAGCAAUGCCGCGUGUGUGAAGAAGGUUUUCGGAUUGUAAAGCACUUUCGACGGGGACGAUGAUGACGGUACCCGUAGAAGAAGCCCCGGCUAACUUCGUGCCAGCAGCCGCGGUAAUACGAAGGGGGCUAGCGUUGCUCGGAAUGACUGGGCGUAAAGGGCGUGUAGGCGGUUUGUACAGUCAGAUGUGAAAUCCCCGGGCUUAACCUGGGAGCUGCAUUUGAUACGUACAGACUAGAGUGUGAGAGAGGGUUGUGGAAUUCCCAGUGUAGAGGUGAGAUUCGUAGAUAUUGGGAAGAACACCGGUGGCGAAGGCGGCAACCUGGCUCAUUACUGACGCUGAGGCGCGAAAGCGUGG
rnacentral:rRNA from 1 species